UGGUAAAGAACUUCAUGAUCCAGGGGGGUGAUUUCACUGAGGGCAAUGGAAGAGGAGGAGAAUCUAUAUAUGGUGGUUUCUUUGAAGAGAUUGUGGUCUUUUGCAAAAUGAGAAGGUAAGAGAUGUACACAGUGCAGUAACACAAUGUAGACUAAACUAGGGCUGUGCAAUUAAUCGCAGAUGAAUCGCAUUCGAUUAUGAAUGCGAUAUUGCCUAGCUU